GCCGCCUGGACAGUGGUUGGCCUAUCCAUUAUAUAAUGAUUGUUGCUCAUUUGGGCUUUCAAUGGCUUGCGUUGCGUUUAAUUGUUUGCUCUGGUUGGGCUUGUGUUCUGGAUUUCCUCCGGGUUUGGCUAUUUUGGCCCACUCUACUUGUUGUGGCCCACUAUAUAUAUUGCUUAACCUUAAAAAAAAAAAAAAAAAAAAAAGAGGAAAAAUCUUACCACUUCGCGGUGUUCCAAUCGAAGGAAACCCUAGCACGACAGAAAUUUCCCCUUCUAUAAAUAGUCCUAAACUCCAAGACCUGGAAUUACCAUCCGAAAGACGAUGUGUGUACUGUUCAAUUCGAACCAGCUCAAUCUUUCUCACCGCAUACUCUUCAUGGAGAAUCUCUCUCCAUCAGAAGCAAUCUUCAAGCCUUAACCCUAAUCCAGCUUUCAGGUCAGGGGACUCAUAGCAAUAUAGCAGGAUUAAUUUACUGUUUUAAAUUGUGUCAUUCUUUGCACUUCUCUAAUUUGUAUUUUUAUGUUACUUUAAAAUUUAGAUUCCAUCGAGCUCAUACAAUUUUACAAACCAUUGAAUAUUUUUUACUUGACCUAGACCAAUACCAUGCUUGAUCUCAUUAUGGUGUUGGUCGUCCAAAUGGGUUUCCUAUUUCUUAUUUUAUUUUUUACUGCAUUACUGGCAACACAUCAAUUGCACAUUUGAUCUUUGGGUGCUUCAGUUGUUUUCAAACUGGAAGGAUUCAUAAUUUUACUACUUAAUGGCUGAUGCUGUCUUCCAGCCAAUUCCUUGUGAAAAUUGAAUGUUUUCUUGUGAAGUUGUUCUUAGGAUACUUGUAGAAGUUAUGUGCUACUUCAAUUAAUGUUUAUUAGUGUUACUUCUUCAUUUGAAAGUCAAGUGGCUUCUUUAGUCAAUAUUUCUUUUGGACAGCGCUGGGGCAUUUUAAGAUUGUUUGGAAAGAUACCGGUAUAGCUAUGUAAAUGAUUGAAAAUAUGGUGUUGGAAUGAUAUGGUCUCCUAAAUUCAUUUUGAUAAACUAAGGAUCAUGAAGAUAAUGUGAAUAAUGUGAAUAGGGAGUUGCCGAUAAUCAUUUCAAAAGUUGUGGGUUAAACUAAUUAUACAAUUUACAUUAUUGCUUGAAUCAAAUUGGAUAUAAUAUACAGAAUCUGCCAUAGGAACAUUGAGAAUGAGAUAAGCACAACACAAACGCUGAUUGAGUUCUAUGCCAUUUGUCAAUGCAUUUCUUUGCAAAUGCUCAUGUUUUCCUUCCUUACCCAAUUAUUUACAUCAUUUUAAAUGUAUUAUACACAUUGCUGAAUUUUUUAAUAGUUGAGAUUUUACUUUGAUCUCUUUUCACCAUUUGUCUACCUAUCUCUUUGGUUUAUUGCUAGACUACCAUGAAUUUACAUUUUUGCCGACAAGUUAAUGUAAGCUUCAUAUAUUAAAAUUUGGAGAGGAGGAUUAAUAUGGAAAGUUGGUUGCUGUGAUGAAUAUAAAACUUGUUGAAAGUUUACUAUUGCUUGAUGAAAUAUCGACAAUUAUGUCGAACCUGAGCGGUUACCUGAGCAACCUAGUGUCACAUUUACUCUUGUAUUCCUUUUACUCCUCUUUCAGUUUGUACAAAUUACAAUUGGUUGCUAUGAUGAAGAAAUAAUACCUGUUGAAAGUUUACAAUUGCUUGAUGAAAUAUCGACAAUUAUGUUGAUCCUGAGCGGUUACCUGAGCAACUUAGUGUCACAGUCACUCUUGUAUUUGUUUAUUCCUCUUUGAAUAUGGAAAAAUUACAAUUGGUUGCUAUGAUGAAGAAAUAAAAGUUGUUGAAAGUUUGCAUUUGCUUGAUGAAAUAUCGACAAUUUAGUCGAUCCUGAGCGGUUACCUGAGCAACUUAAUGUUACAAUUAUUCUUGUACUUUAGUCCUCUUUAAAUAUUAUGUUUCUCUAUUUUCUUUAUAUGGCAGUUUCAUAUUUCUCCUCCCAAAAAAGUAAUUUCGUGCUCUAUCCUUUUGUUCUUUUUGCACUUCUAGAGGCAAGUAUUCUAGUUGAUUAAAUAAUAAGUUAAUGGUUACUAGCAUGAAUUUAUGUAAUUUUCAUUCUUAGUUUUUCUAUCUAUAUAUAUCCAAAUUCUUAUUGCUUUUAUUUUUGGAAGUUAUAUAUUUGAAGUUUAUUUGUCAUAAUAGCCUUGUCUCCUUAAUGAUGUUUACUUACACAUCUGUAGGCUACUUUGUGCGAUUGAGGUAUUGAUUUUGCGAACUCCCCUCCCCUCUUCUCUUAUUUAUUAGUUCUUGUUUUUUGGUUUGCUUAUAUUGAAUUUUUAUCGGCUUUCUCUUUCAUACUAUUGUAUUUUAAUGAUAGAUUUUAUAAUUUAAGAGGAACAUAUUGUCUUAUAUGCAAAUGGUUUGCCAGGAUGAAUACUAGAAACUUGAGAGUUUUGAUGUACAUGCUCGAGGACAUGUCAACAUUUAUGUCGACCUGAGUUGUUUAAUUGUGUUACAUAUUUUUUUUCUAGUUUUAGUUUCUUUUGACAUCUUUUGCGUGUGUGUGUGUUUUUUUUAUUUUUUAUUUUUUAUUUUUAUUUCUCCCAUUUCCCAUUUCCUAUUUCCCAGAGUCUGUUUGUUCUCUGUCUCCUCCUAAAUUCCUGAUAUCAUGUAUUCUUACCAUUAUCUUAUUCAUGUAUCCGAAGUAUAUCUUUGGACUUCUCUCAUAUGAAAUGGGGUCUAUUUGUAAAUAAUGAAUGUGGAAAACUUAUUCUAAAUUUCUAGUAAAUAUUUGAGGAAAGCUGAUCCAGGGAUUGAUAGAUAUACACUUUAGUUUACAACUCAGUUUUUGUAAAUACAUUUUUGUGUUAUAAUAGUCCGGUUAGUUUGUAUAGAUUUUUUAAAAAUUUCCCGUGGAUAUAUAUCACUAUUUUUGGGUUUUAGAAUAAUAUGAAUUAUUUCUUGGAAAUGUAGUCAUUUUUGUCAUUUGGUUGCCAAUGAUGGGUUUAAAUAUGCUAUGAAUAUUCAUAAUGAAAAGAACUUACUCUGAGGUACCCCUUUUUUAUUUUUUUAAAAAUUUCCUUUGGAUAUGUAUAACUAAUUUUGGGUUUUAGAAUAAUAUGAAUUAUUUCUUGGAAAAAGUCAUUUUUGUCAUUUGGGUGCCAAUAAUGGGUUAAAUGAAUAUCCAUAAUGAAAAGAACUUACUUUGAGGUACCCUUUUUGGAUCAAUAAAUUUUUAUUUUAUAUAUAGUAUUAUAGUUGUUUACUUAUGAAGAAGGAUUUCAUGCUAUUUAACCUUUUUUUUUUCAAGGUAGUUUAUAGGUCUUCUUAGAAGACUGCAAAUUGUGUUUAUUUAGAUAUUAGGUUGUGCAAGUGACGACAAAAUAGACAGGGACAUCAGCAUUCCCCAUUGGAGUAUGAUGAUUUGUCUUCGGGAAUCUCUCUGAUGCACAAUCAUUAUCAGACUUGGUAGAAUGUUUUUAAUGUUAUUUUUGUUUUCUGCUUCAUUUAUUAUUCUUUGUUUCUGUAUAUCUUGGGACUAACAAGAUAAACUUAAUCUGAUUUUUUUGCUACUAACAAUAUGAUUCUGUAGUAUAAACUAGUUUCUGAAUCCAUUUUCCACCAUUCUGAUUUUUUUGCUUGAGUUGAUACCAAAUCUUUCAGCAUCUCUCACCCCGAGUUUACUCCGUUGCAUCUCUCACCCCGGGAUUGAUGGAUAUACACUUUAGUUUACAACUAAGUUUUUGUAAAUACAUUUUUGUGUUAUAAUAGUCUGGUUAGUUUGUAUAGAUUUUCUUUUGGAUUGUUUUUGACAAGGGCUUUUGUGAUCAUGAGGCUUAAUAGUGAUUAUUUGCUCAUUGCUAUUGUGGCAAAUUGGAAGUUAUCUGAAAAUAUAUUUAAUUUUUUGUCUACCUGAUUUUGACGAAAGCUGUCACUAAACUCAAAUCAAUUUUCUGACAGUAUUUUCCAUAUUCAACCACUUACAUCAUUGAAGUCCCCUUUUAGCGGUGUAUGUUAGUAUAAUUAAUUUAGAUCAUUGAAAUGUUUUACCAAUAUGCAUGAUGCAUACUUUUUUUAUUACGUGUGAUUCAGUAAUCAUUGCAGGAGUUUGUCUCCAGUUUAUCAAUUUCUUGUUUCACUAAGUCUUGCUAUGCACCUCUAUUUGUCUUAAAGUUAUGGAUUAGGACACUAGCGUAGUCAGCUUUGCUUUGUGUUCCGGUUGCUGUCAUUUCUUGGUUUGCCUAUGAUGUAUUUAUCUGCACGUAUUAUCAGACAUACUAAUGAUGAUAUGUGAUUGUCACUACCUCUGAGGCAAAACCUUCACUAAUUGAGAUCUUAACUAGUAUGUAUAUUGGUUCCUCAGUUAGUGUUACACAAUAAUUAGGUUUAUGAUAUUGUCAAAAGCUUACUGAAUUAUAGUUGAGAAUAAGUUCCAUUUAAGUUUUGAUCUAUUGUUAUAUUUCCUUUAAACUAUUGUGUUAGUUAUUUGUUAUUCCCCAAGCAUAAUAAAUGGCAAAUGAUGAUCUCCUUGAUUUGGGUAUGAUGUGUCUAAAUGCUUGUAUAAUCAGAUAUGGAGAGGAUGACUACUGAUUGUCACCUCAUCUGAGGCAAAACCAGCCAUGCUUUAAGCCUUUGACUUUGACUAUGGUUUAUACUUUAUUCCUCUCUCUCUCUCUCUCUCUCUCUCUCUCUCUCUCUCUAUUUUUUGUUAGGUAUGGUCUCUAGUUACUUAUUCAAUAGCUUUGCUUAAUGCAUACCCUUGAAAUAAGCUAUCACUGUCAUUAGGGGCUUAUGAUAUGUAAUUUACUAAAGCAUGCUAGCUAAAUAUCAUAGGGUAUUAGAUGCUAAUGGAAGUGGUACCUGAUUAUUUUUUCAGGUAUUAAGGUAUUUAGUGGGGAAAAAUAUAGACAAUUAUUUUCAAUGUUCACAUAUUGUCACUUCCAGGGCUUGUUAUAAGUUGCAUGUUGUUUCUUGAAAAGCCUAAUGAUUGAUACAAAAGAACGGAGAUUUGAAUGGUGCUCUUUGUAGUAGCCUGACCAAAAAUUGGGCUCCAAUAGCAUCUCAUGUGAUGGACAACUACUAGUUGGAAAAUGAAGGCUUAUAUUCCAGUUUUCAACUAGAUUUUUUUAAUUUUUGUUGAAUGUUGGCAGUUUUUUAAUGUUCCAAUUCCCUUUUAACAAGUCUGUUAGAAGCAUGUGUGCAUUAUACAUUGUUAAUCAUUUCCUGAUGCAUGGCAAAAGUUUUAAUUGACUAGUUAGAGGGCAUGAUUAUACAUGUUAAUCAUUGCCUGUUGGCAGUUUCUUUUAAUGUCCCAAUUCUUCCUUUACAAGUUAGGGGACAUGAUUAUACAUAUUAACCAUUGACUGUUCAAAGAUUUUUAAUGUACAAUUCAUUCUUUACAAGUUAGGGGUGAUGGUUAUACAUGAUUAUACGUGUUUUUGCAUUACGGUUGUGAACAUGUUUAUUAUUGCCCGAUGAAUGCCAAAAGUUUGAUUUGACUGGUUAGAGGACAUGAGUUCGAGUACAGAAAGACAUUGUGUCUUAUCCUCCAGCACUGCACGUAGGUGAGGAAUACUUGUGAUUGCCAAUAUUUAAAUGUUAAACAUGUUGGUCUGUUGCUGUGGGAUAUUUUGGCCAAUAACAAGAUUUGAUCUAAUGCUCCUUGUUAGUUUCUGUGCUGCAGUGUCUUAGAAGAAGAUUAGGACCGUUGGAUUUGCUUUUGUGCAUGUUCUUUUUGUAAUAUGUUUAUAAACUGCUCAAGGGUUCAUUUGGCAGCCAAGCUUGCUGAAAUUCAAAGUUCAUUAAACGAACAUCUAUUUUCAAUUUUUUUUGCUCCUCCAAAAAAUAAUCUACAUAAAAUCCCCUGAUGUUGCAAAGUGAUUUUAUAUUGACAAAAAUGUCCUUAAUAUAAAUUUUAAAAAAUUUAGAUUUUUUAUUUUGUUUUUAAUUUUUUAAAAUUAGAACUUAAAAAAGUGUACGCUGAUUAUGGGAUAUUAUGUGACAAAUACCUCUUAAUAUAAAUUUGAGAAAAUUUAGAUUUUUUAUUUAAUUGAUUUUUAUUUUAGGUUUUCUCUGUGUUAAAGAUGUCAUUUUCAAUAUAAAUUCGUGUACUUUUGGUUAUUUGAAAAAAAAGUUAAUUCACUUACUAUGAUUAUUCGUAUUUUUAUAAAGUUUAAAAGCUCACUCACUGUUUUUCAAUUUUAUUGAAAAAUAAAGUUUGGAGAAAUUGGAUAAUGGAUGGGAAUAUUGAAUAGAGAGGGUUAAGCUUUAACAAAUAUGAAAAAAUGGACAGUUAAAAGUUACUCACUACUACGGUUAUAUCCUUUUCUUUUCCUUAAAUAUGAUAUUAACAUGACUAAGGAAAUAAUCUCACUCUUUCUUAUUGAUCUUACGUAAUGGAUCUUUUAUUUUUAUUUAACUACCCAGUUUUUAUAUAAUUGUUAAAGAAAAAGAAAAAAGAAAGACUAAUAUUACAAUUAUGAUAUUGGUUUGAUAGAAUUUGAUUUAAUUGAAAAUUCAGAAUACAAAUUUGUUUUGAUUUCAAAAGCAAAUAAAUAAAUAAAAUAAAAUAAAAUAAACUAGUACAUGUACUACAAGAAUUUAGCAUUUGCCCAAAUUCGUAAGUAUGGUCUGAUCAAUUGAAAGAGUUUUCGUUUCCAUUGAUAUAUAAUGAAAAAUGAUAAUAUAUACAUAUAUUAUUGGCACCAAAGUUUUCUAAUUUUUUUUUUAAAAAUAUGCCAUGUAUAAUUAUUACACACACUCUCUUCCUUUUUCUUUUACAUUUUUUUUUUCUUUUCAAAUUUGACGUAACUUAAAAUCUUGCUCCAUACAAUUUAAAUCCCAACAGAUGAGUAAAAUUCUUGUGCUUACUGUUAAAUAUAGAAUCCUAUUGAAUCUAGAAUAAUUUAUUUUUUAUAUUUAUAUCAAUUAAUCUAAUAAUUUUCUCUAAAAUAAAAAUUGAAUAAUCUCAUUUAAAAAAAUAGUUGUAAAAAUUAUCACAUAAUAUUAAUUCAAUUGACAUAAUAAAAAUAUCAAUAUUUUAAUUACCAAUCUGAAUUUUAAUAUAAAAAAAUGUCCGUCUCUAAAACGUUUUUGGUCUUUUCAACAAUUUUAAAUAAUAACCUAAAAUAAUUUCAUGAGAUAUUGAAAAGACAGCCUCUACAAACUUUUGUUUUAUUUUUUAUUUUUAAAGGAGCCUAUGUAGUUUUCAAUAACAAAUAAAUUUUUUUUUUCUUUUUGAAAAAAAUAAAAGGAGAUCCAAUGCUGAUACUUCGUGUAUUUAAUACCGUUUCGAACAAUAACUGAGAUAUUUGAAAUAUAAGGGGGAAAAAAAAAAUGAGGAUGGCGUCAUAAACAAGCAAUCUCCAACCUAUAUAUCUAUAUAAAGACGCACCUGACCCGAUAUACGAAAUAUAACGUACUGGUUAGGGUUUCUGCUUCUCGUUCUUUGAGGGCUCGAUCAGAAAUAGGUCUUGAGGCCGCGGUUGGGUCUGGAAGCUUUACCAAUAUGUAUCCUUUUCGCAGUUGGGGUUUCUUUCAAGAGGGUCCGAUAGGGUCUCGAGGCUGCGAUUCAAACAAGGGUAUGAGGGUUAGGGUUUUAUCGUCCUCUAUUCGAGGGCUAAUCAGUGAUCAGACUUGGGUCUUGAAGGUGCGAUUCAAACCCGCGUUUGAGGGUUAGGGUUUUCUCGUCCAAUAUUCGUUCUUGAGGGGUCGAUAUUCAAACAAGGGUCUUGAGGGUUAGGGUUAGAUUCAGAAAAUGGUUUUUUGGGUUCGACUGAAACAAGGGUCUUGAGGGUUGGGGCUCGAUCCAGAUGAUGGUGUUGUGGUGUUGGAUCCGGUUGAUGGUUUUGUGGGGCUCAAUACUGAGGGUUCUGCGGGCAUCUUUUGGGUAAAAAUUCGUAAAUCAACUUUAUUUAACUGAUUUAUUUACCAUUUAUUAGUCUAACUUCUACUCUAAUUUUUUAAUUGAUAACUGAAAAUUGUAUCAAAACUAGAUAUAGAAGGAUAGAAAUUGAUUGAUUAUUAAGAUAUAUAAAGAUCAAUACAUUAUUUUAAUAAUUUUUUUUAUAAGUAUUAAUCAUUUUAAGUACUCUUUACAUGUAUGUAUGUUAAUCAUAUGUCAUUUUCCUAUAUUAUUGUGCUUGUGCUGAAUUUGUAUUUCAUCUCUAUUUUAAUGGUCUAAUGUUUUUAUUUUAUUUUUAUAAUUUUGUAUUGUAUUGGUAAUUACCCCACCUUCCCUGAAGCGUAACAUAAUUACACCGGCUUCUCCAGUUGAUUAGAAACUUACUUGGUUCUCCCCUAUUGUUGUUACUGAAGCUCUCACCUAUAUUAGCAGAAUGCGCUUGACAAUUUCCAAAUGGGAAUGCUAGUGUCCAGUGUAGUAUGUUUUAGUCAAAGAGGGAAGUCUAUGUAAUUAUGUUAUUCCUGAAAGAAGCCAAUGUAAUUUAUUUAUUUUA